GCGGUUGUCAGGAAGAGAUUGGUGAGAAAACGUGUGCCUCAGUAUGAUUUGAUUUCUUUUUGACUAAUAUGCCAACCGUGUUUAUGAACACGUUACUUAUCGAUGUAUAUUUGGGAUCUUAGAUUGGCAUCAGUUCUGUCUAAGCUCCUCGUCCUGGAUCUCCUCAGUCCUCUCGGUUGGGUGGAGUGUUUUUCUUCACUCAGGAUGAUCGCGGGGUUCAAGACCACAGUUUAAGCUGACAGGUGUCUUUGUGGCACACCUCAUCCGUUGUUAUGGGUACGGCUUCCUCUCUGGUGAGCCCCGGGGAGGUGAUUGAGGAUGCGUAUGGGGGUGAGGGAGGGGAGGCGUGUGAGAUACCGGUGGAGGUGAAACCAAAGGCCCGUCUGCUGCGGAGCUCCUUCCGCCGUGGGCCUCGUGUCAUCGGCGCCAGCUUCAAAUCUACCGGAUCGGUGGAACUGGAGUAUGCGGCGGAGUAUGAGCGCCUCAGGAAAGACUACGAGAUCUUUAGGGUCAGCAAGAACAACGAGAUCGCCUCCAUGCAGAAGAAAGAAGCCAAGCUGGACGAGGAGAACAAGAGACUGCGUGCUGAGCUGCAGGCUCUUCAGAAGACUUACCAGAAGUUUCUUCGAGAGAAGGAAAGUGCCCUGGAGGCAAAGUAUCAAGCAAUGGAGAGAGCUGCCACCUUUGAACAUGACCGAGACAAGGUCAAACGGCAGUUUAAGAUAUUCCGGGAGACUAAAGAAAAGGAAAUUCAGGAUUUGCUGCGGGCAAAACGAGAUCUGGAGUCCAAACUUCAACAGCUGCAGGCUCAAGGCAUUCAGAUUUAUGAUCCAGCAGACUCGGAUUCAGACGACAACCGCACCACUGUCACCACUGCAGGAACUCAGUGUGAGUACUGGAGUGGUGGCAUAUUGGGCAGCGAGCCGUCCAUGGGCAGUAUGAUGCAGUUACAGCAGACACACAGAGGUCCAGAAUUCGCUCACAGUCUGAUUGACGUGGAGGGGCCGUUUGCCAAUGUCAGCAGAGAUGAUUGGGAUGUGGCUGUAGCCAGUCUGCUGCAAGUUUCUCCUCACGUCUCUCAGGCUCUGUGGAGUAACACAGUCCGCUGCUACCUCAUAUACACACAGGAGACCAGAGCGGAGCUGCAGGCCUUUAUACAAACUCAUUCUUUGAAGCUGCAGAGGUUUUGUGAGGGUUUGGGUCAUUUCUACCUGAAUGUGUCAUUUCCUGAGGAGAAAGCUGCUCUGUAUGCUGCUGAACGCAGGCGGGAGAUCGAGAGGAGCUCUGUGUGCGUGCUGCUACUCAAGUCCUCAGUGUCCAGUUGUGUGAUAGAGGAUGUGGAGGAAGCAUUUGUGGAAACCCCAGACUCUCGGCCUCUCUUGCUGUAUUUGCGAACUGGUGAGAGAAAAGGAGAAAAGGAAGAGGUCUUCACCCUCAGCCCAUCCACUAGAGACCUGCUGGAGAGAGUUAACAAAGCUGACAAGAGUGCCAAACUUAAGGUAGUGGAUCAUGCAGGGUCUGUAGAGGAAGGAGCUGCUCUUAUAUUCACUCAACUUGAAAGAGUUAUCAAACAGGAGCUGUUGGGUUUGGAGUUAGAAGAGAGCGGAGCGGUGGAGGAGAGAGAAGAGGAAGACUCUGGGGAUGUGCUGUGGGAUCUUCAUGAUGAGCAGGAGCAGAUUGAGGCGUUCCAGCAGGCUUGCAGCGCAGCAUCCAGAUUCAGCUUCCAGAAGUAUGUCGACCGACUCAAUGACAUGGUAGCCGCCCCUCCACCCACCCCACCACUCCUGGUAUCUGGUGCACCUGGAUCGGGCAAAUCACUUCUGCUGGCUAAAUGGAUAGAGUUACAGCAGAAACACUCUCCCAACACCCUCAUCCUGUAUCACUUCACGGGACAUCCUCUCUCUACCAGCACAGAUCCAGUGCUCAUCAUUAAGCGCCUCACAGUGAAGCUGCUCCAGCAUUUCUGGUCUAUUUCUGGCCUCUCGAUGGACCCUUCUAAGAUCCUCGAAGAGUUCCCACGCUGGCUAGAGCGGCUGUCCGCGUGUCACAACGGCAACAUCAUAAUCAUCAUUGACUCCAUUGACCAAAUACAGAAUGCCGAGCGGCACAUGAAAUGGCUGAUUGAUCCUCUUCCUGCAAAUGUGAGAGUCCUGGUGUCCGUUAAUGUGGAGACCUGCCCACAGGCAUGGAGAUUGUGGCCCACGCUGCACCUGGACCCGCUCAAUCCCAGAGAGGUGAAGAGUGUCAUCAGCACCGAGUGUGUGAACAGCGAAAUCAAACUCACCAAAGAUCAGGAGAAGAAGUUGGAGAGACAUUGCCGUUCAGCUGCAACAUGCAACGCGCUCUAUAUCUCACUGCUGGCGAGACUUAUUACACACUCUAGAUCCUCCUGGACAUUGGAGAUGACUCUGCAGCAGUGUGCGUUGUGUCAAGAUACAGUAUCGCUAUACAGACUGGGCCUGAAGGCAGCGCUAGACUCACUCAGCACGGAUCAGGAAAAACACAUCAUGAAAGAGUUGUUGUGCUUGGUCUGCGCCAGUCACAACGGCAUUAGUGAAUCAGAGGCUUUGGAGCUGUUCCCAGACCUGAGUUUUCCCGCUCUCACCUCACUGCUCCACAAUCUGGAGAGACUCCUCAUCAUUACCUACGCCUGUGGCCUCGUUCGCUUUCAGCACCCACAGGCAUGUGAAGCGGUCAACCAAGAGUUUCUGGAUGGGGGCAAAUGUCGUGGAUCCUACAGCGACAAAAUCAUUCGGUUCUUCAGUGAACAGCUGAACCAAGACAGAGUGACGUGGAGGGUGGCUGAUGAAUUGCCAUGGUUACUGCAGCAGCAGGACGAUCGAAGUAAACUCCAGAUGAGUUUGCUUAACUUGUUUGUGUCCCAGAACCUGUACAAGAGGGGUCAUUUUUCUGAGCUGCUGACAUACUGGCAGUUUGUUGGUAAGGAUAAGUGCUCGAUGGCGACAGAGUAUUUCGACUCAUUGAAAGAGUUUGAGAAGACCUGUGAGAGUGAGCAGAGCAUGAGCCAACUGGCCAACCUGUACGAGACACUAGGCCGCUUCCUCAAAGACCUGGGACUGCUCAGCCAGGCGGUGGCCCCCUUGCAGCGCUCCUUAGAGAUCCGUGAGACGGCUCUUGAUCCGGACCACCCAAGUGUGGCUCAGUCCCUGCACCAGCUGGCCGGGGUUUACGUUCAUUGGAGGAAAUUUGGAAACGCAGAGCAGUUGUACAAACAAGCAAUGGAGAUUUGUGAAAACGCUUACGGCCCUGAACACAGCACUGUCGCUAGAGAACUAGACUCACUCUCGCUCCUCUACCAGAAACAGAAAAAAUAUGAGCAGGCCGAGAAGUUGAGAAAGAGAUCAGUCAAGAUCAGACAGAAGACAGCACGACAGAAAGGCCACAUGUAUGGUUUUGCUCUCUUGAAGCGGCGGGCUCUGCAGUUAGAGGAACUUACUCUUGGCAAAGACUCCGCAGAGAGCGCCAAGACUCUAAAUGAGCUUGGAGUGCUUUAUUACCUGCAGAACAACCUGGAUGCUGCAAAAAUGUUCUUGACCCGUUCCCUGGAGAUGCGCCAGCGCGUGCUGGGGCCAGAUCACCCCGACUGCGCCCAGUCUCUGAACAACCUAGCUGCGCUUCACAGCGAAAGGAAAGAGUAUGAGAGUGCUGAGGAGCUGUACGAAAGAGCACUUGACAUCCGUAAACGAGCACUGGCCCCAGAUCACCCCUCUCUCGCCUAUACCCUCAAACACCUGGCCAUGCUUUAUAAACGCAGGGGGAAGCUGGAAAAGGCAGUUCCUCUAUAUGAACUGGCUCUUGAAAUCAGAGAGAAGAGCUUCGGGCCUAAACACCCCAGUGUUGCCACAGCUUUGGUUAACCUUGCAGUGCUCUAUUGCCAGCUGAAGCAGCACAGUGAUGCAUUGCCUUUGUACGAGCGCGCUCUAAAGGUAUAUGAGGACAGUCUCGGCCGACUACACCCUCGUGUUGGAGAGACUCUGAAAAACCUGGCUGUACUCAGCUAUGAAGAGGGAGAUUUUGAGAAGGCUGCUGAACUGUACAAGCGAGCAAUGGAAAUAAAAGAGGCAGAGCCAUCUCUAGUGUGCGGUAAGGCCCCCUCACGUCACUCAUCUAGUGGUGAUACCUUUAGCCUGCGAAGCCCCGCCCUGCCUCACACCUCAAGGUGACACCUGACCCCUCAACACUUACCAAGUUGAACUCUUACCUCUAUUAAUGAAGCCAUAUUGGCCACACUUGGUGUGUUCAAGCAUUUGCUUGAUGUCUACAUGGAGCAAUCAAAUAUGCAUGGUAAGAAAACAUUGGAGCCCAACAUGGUUCUCAUUCCUACUGUAAUUUACAGUAUGAAUCAUAAGUGUUUUAAUGUAUCAUCCCUUGCCACUGGGUUUUGAACGGUUUCUCUCUGGCUUGCAAAAAGGCAAAUCCUGAAAAAGUGUUUUAUACUUGUGGUUUUCAAUUAAUGUUGAAGCACAGCACUCAAUAGCCUCAGCAAACCAAUUGAAUUUCAAAUGCACUGCUGGUAAACUGUUAGGCCACCUCAGAGUGUAAGAAAGAAAAAGUAGUAAUAAUAAAAACUGACUGUUAGAAGUUUAAAUACAUUUGGGAGAUAUAGAGGUACAUGAGAUACUAAGUAGAGAGAUAUGAAGUCAAAAUUACAAGACAAGAUGUCACAGUUGCAAGAAAUACCAAGUCUAAAUUACAAAAAAUAGGGAUGCAAUUAUGAGAAAUAUUAUAUAUAUAUAUAUAUAUAUAUAUAUAUAUAUAUAUAUAUAUAUAUAUAUAUAUAUAUAUAUAUAUAUAUAUAUAAACUAAAGUCGAGAUAUGAAAUUGCAAUUAGAAGACAUGCAAUUGCAGUUACAAGAUAUAUAGUAGCAACUGCAAUUAUGAGAUGUACAUAAAUACGUAAAUAAUGCAAUAAAGUAAUUUGUUGAAAUAAUGUAAUGUGAAUUUGGCUUCCAAUUAUAUAAAUUCACAAUUACGAAAUAAGAUAUGUAGCAGAAACAGCAAAAAAAUAUAUUGCAUAUCAAGCUGUGAAGGCACAGUUAUGAAGUGUGAAGUUGCAACUACAAGAAAUGGUAGUGCAAUUAUCUCUUUUCUUCUCUCAGAUGGCAAAAGGCCUUCAUAGUAAUGAAGCAUGAUUGUUCAUGCAACGGAAAUAUUACUUACAUUUUCUCUAUGUAUUUACUCCCAACAUUUACUCCAAUUAUCACUGAGAAACUUUUUUAAAUUCUUAUUAUUAUAAACUUGAGCACGUCAAAGGGUUGGUUGAAGAAAUAUUUUACCUUGGUAUUUUAUACAAUGUCAGUAUUAGUUUCUUCCAGAGCACUUUUCACUUGCAUGGUAUGAAAACAUUUUGGAAAAAGUGAUGUGUGACCAAUUUCAGCAGGUUUUUUCAGGUUUCUAUCACUGCUGCCUUCAGCAUAUGUAAACCGAAGUCAAGCAUAAUGGAAAUUUGAAUCAAUUGAGAACCGCAAUACAUUGACUAAAUACCUUCUUAUAAAGGUGAAAUAUGUAUUCCAGAGUCUCAACUCCUCCUUCUGGUCUAUGGCCUGCUUCCUGUCAUGCAAAGUAACCUUAUCAUCCCCAUUAAAUGCUGAACAGUUGUAUAUUGCGAAGUAUUACUAAAGGAAGGCUGACGUACAUAGCCAUACAAAACACUAUAACAAUAUCAAGAUAAGAGUUCAUGAAGAAGUCUGAGAUUAUUGUAUUCAAUAUUUAAUUAAUUGUAUAGGUCUCAUUUUUUAGUUUAAAUGGCUCAACACCACAGAACACAGCAUGUGCAAUAAUUAUGCUUCUUGUAAAGCACAAUGACAGUGUCUAUAUAUGUAGUUUAGUAUUAGAAUGACUUUAUCUGAAAAUAUAGAUCCAUAUGAUAUUACGACCCAUAUUUUUGUAUUUGGAAUUAUUUUUUUUGGGAAUUGUGAAAGUACAAUACCUUGCCAUAUCACGUGUCUGGUUCUGAUGUCUACCUGUUUUCUUAGACUAGAUAGACAUGUAUAAUGAAGGAAUAUAAACAGAAUAUAUAAUUACUGAAUGUCUGCAAAUACUUAUGGGUGUUUGAAAACUGUUUGUAAAGGUGCUAAAUCAGAUUCAGUGUUAUGUGCCUCAUUUUUGCAGAGAAAUCAUAUUUGAACGGUUACAUUUUGAGAGAACAUGCUAAUUAUUUAAUAAUUUACUCUAAACUUCCAUUAUUGCUUGUAUUACGUCACAUUGUUGUUAUACAGUUUGUUCCAGGACUUUUAUACACUGCCAAAAGAAGUGUACUUUAUACCCAAAUUCUUCUGAUGCACAUGAUGCACGCACAAAAUAUUGUGUAUCAUCUACCAAUAAAUGCAUAAUUGAAUGAAAAUAA